GUGCCAGCCGCCGCGGUAAUACGGAGGGUGCAAGCGUUAUUCGGAAUUACUGGGCGUAAAGGGCGCGUAGGCGGCUCUUUAAGUCAGGCGUGAAAGCCCGGGGCUCAACCCCGGAAGUGCGUUUGAAACUGAGGAGCUUGAGUACGGGAGAGGGAAGUGGAAUUCCUGGUGUAGAGGUGAAAUUCGUAGAUAUCAGGAGGAACACCGGUGGCGAAGGCGACUUCCUGGACCGAUACUGACGCUGAGGCGCGAAAGCGUGGGGAGCAAACAGGAUUAGAGACCCUGGGUAGUCCACGCCGUAAACGAUGAACACUAGGUGUAGCCGGGGUAUUGACCCCUUGCUGUGCCCGCAGCUAACGCAUUAAAGUGUUCCGCCUGGGGACUACGGUCGCAAGGCUAAAACUCAAAGGGAAUUUGACGGGGCCCG
rnacentral:rRNA from 1 species